UACGUAGGGGGCUAGCGUUGUCCGGAAUCAUUGGGCGUAAAGCGCGUGUAGGCGGUCCGGUAAGUCCGCUGUGAAAGUCGGGGGCUCAACCCUCGAAUGCCGGUGGAUACUGUCGGGCUAGAGUGCGGAAGAGGCGAGUGGAAUUCCUGGUGUAGCGGUGAAAUGCGCAGAUAUCAGGAGGAACACCAAUUGCGAAGGCAGCUCGCUGGGACGUUACUGACGCUGAGACGCGAAAGCGUGGGGGAGCAAACAGG
rnacentral:rRNA from 1 species